rnacentral:rRNA from 1 species
UCCUACGGGUGGCUGCAGUAGGGAAUAUUGCGCAAUGGGCGAAAGCCUGACGCAGCGACGUCGUGUGGGGGAUGAAGGGUCUUGGCUCGUAAACCCCUGUCAGAUGGGACGAUGGAAUUAGUAGCUAAUAUCUGCUAGUUUUGACGGUACCGUCAGAGGAAGCACCGGCUAACUACGUGCCAGCAGCCGCGGUAAUACGUAGGGUGCAAGCGUUGUUCGGAAUUAUUGGGCGUAAAGAGUGGGUAGGUGGAAGUGUAAGUCAGGUGUGAAAUCCUAGGGCUUAACCCUAGAAGUGCACUUGAUACUGCAGUUCUAGAUUUCAGGAGAGGGAAGCAGAAUUCCUGGUGUAGGGGUGGAAUCCGUAGAUAUCAGGAGGAAUACCAGAGGCGAAGGCGGCUUCCUGGACUGACAAUGACACUGAGCCACGAAAGCGUGGGUAGCAAACAGGAUUAGAUACCCCUGUAGUC